UAUUAACUUUCUAGGUAGUUAUAAAACCAACACGUAUUGGCGGUCUUUAUAUAUUAGAGAAACUCGCUUUAUAAUCGUAAAUACCCGAUAAAUUUCACUUUUUUCACUAGUUUAUAUACCGCCGUUUCAGCGUUCAAUUAUCUUUAAAACCCUUAAUAUACAUCUAUAAAAAAUCAGGUCAAGGUGUAAUUAAUAAAAAAGGAAAAGUAAGUUACACUAAAAACAAUUUAAGAAUUUUAUAUUAAAAUAAAAAUAAAAAAGAAUUUAAAUGUAAAUAUUAAUUAAAAUUUAAUAUCGAACCAAUUAUUAAAGAUGC
rnacentral:rRNA from 1 species